UGGAGACACAACCAACAGAGACGGCCGCCAGAGGCACACGGCUCUGCCAGCCGCCAGGCGCUACAGAACCCAGAAGAAAAGAUGCCAGGAGCUAGACAAAGGAGGACAACAAUUAUGUCAGGUAAAGCUGGACUGACAUAUUUAUCCUGGUGAAUUCAAAAUGAAACAUGAGCCAUAAAAAAGGAUACAAAGUAUUAUGGGUUUACAAUGAAAGGAAGAAUUAACUUCAGCAUGUGGAAUCAAAGAAGACUGGCAAAAAGACAGCGGGAACUGAGGCUCCAAGCCCGGCAGUGUCCCCAGUCAACCUUUCAGAUGACGUCUGAAAUCAUGGUUAACUCCAGUCCUGUGAGAGGCUCUCCCUUAAAGGAUCCAGGAUUCCUGACUCACAGAAACUGAAAUUAAUAAAUGGGUAUUAAUUUAAGCUGCUAAGUUUUGUGGCAAUUUUUUAUGCAGCAACAAAUAACUAAUUCAGGAAGGGACAAAUGAAACAUUUGCAGUUCAUUUAGUACAUAGUUAUGAGGGGUUCUCUUUAUGCAAUUACUGUUAUAGUUACUUAAAAGCUUGGGAAGGUCAAUGACAGAAAGACCCUACCCUCAAGAAGUCUAGAGC